GACGAACGCUGGCGGCGUGCCUAAUACAUGCAAGUCGAGCGGAAGUUGGAGAGCUUGCUCUUCAACUUUAGCGGCGGACGGGUGAGUAACACGUGGGCAACCUGCCCUGCAGAUCGGGAUAACUCCGGGAAACCGGUGCUAAUACCGAAUAGUUUUCGCCACCUCCUGGUGGCGUACGGAAAGACGGUUUCGGCUGUCACUGCAGGAUGGGCCCGCGGCGCAUUAGCUAGUUGGUGGGGUAACGGCCCACCAAGGCAACGAUGCGUAGCCGACCUGAGAGGGUGAUCGGCCACACUGGGACUGAGACACGGCCCAGACUCCUACGGGAGGCAGCAGUAGGGAAUCUUCCGCAAUGGACGAAAGUCUGACGGAGCAACGCCGCGUGAGUGACGAAGGUUUUCGGAUCGUAAAACUCUGUUGUGAGGGAAGAACAAGUACCAACUAACUACUGGUACCUGACGGUACCUCACCAGAAAGCCACGGCUAACUACGUGCCAGCAGCCGCCGUAAUAC
rnacentral:rRNA from 1 species